rnacentral:misc_RNA from 1 species
UGGCUCUCUCUCUAUGCUACUCUUCUUUUCUUUCUUAUCUUCUUCUUUCCGUCCUCUUGUGUCGUGAGGCUACCUCAAUUUCUCACCACCACCACCAUCACCAUGAACUCAAGUCAAUCCAUUUUACUCUCUUUCAACACGAAACCAUAAAUAAAACAGCAUAUCUUAUAGUGAAUGGUGUUGCAGGACCGUCCACAAGCCAAACCACAACACCUUUUGGCACCUUAUAUGUGUUCCAAGAUCCCUUAACUCUAAAACCCAACUCAAACUCAAAGAUAGUUGGGACAGCUGAAGGAACAUCGAUAACAUCCUCGUUAAAUGGACUGCAAAGCAUAUCUACUGUUAAGAUCACUUUGAUGAUGAAUCAUUACAAAGGCUCAAUAUCAGUAGUGGGAGGCACACACAAUACAAAGCCAUCUAACCAUCCUGUUGUCGGAGGAACUGGUGAUUUUCUGUUCGUUCAAGGUUACGUGACAUCUUCUCCAGUGGAUCUGUCUGGGAUCACUGUUACUUAUAAGAUUCAAUUUCACCUCUAUUGGCCUCCCUAUGCCAUUCCAAGUCAUCCCAAGUAAUGUAUUGAAGGCUACCAAGCUAUCUUUUUACAGCUUUCAUAUUUCUGCUGUUUAUCUCAGUAGUACAAAUAAAAUUUGAAGCAUUAUUAGGAAUAGAUGAAGCAGGCCAAGUUAGUGUUUACCCUAAAAAUACUUCAUCUGG